rnacentral:rRNA from 1 species
UACGGGGGGAGCAAGCGUUGUUCGGAUUUACUGGGCGUAAAGGGCGCGUAGGCGGUCAGCACAAGUCAGUUGUGAAAUCUCCGGGCUUAACUCGGAAAGGUCAACUGAUACUGUGCGACUAGAGUGCAGAAGGGGCAACUGGAAUUCUCGGUGUAGCGGUGAAAUGCGUAGAUAUCGGGAGGAACACCAGUGGCGAAGGCGACUACCUGGCCUGUUCUUGACGCUGAGGCGCGAAAGCUAGGGGAGCAAACGGG